CUCCUGCCUGUAGGAUCUGUGGGAUCAGCUCCCCUCCUGCCUGUAGGAUCUGUGGGAUCAGCUCCCCUCCUGCCUGUGGGAUCUGCUCCCCACCCCUCCUGUGGGAUGUGUGGGAUCAGCUCCCCAGCCCUCCUGUGGGGUCCCCUCCUGCCUGUGGGGUUUUCUCCUCACCCCUGUCUGUGGGAUCUGUUCCCACCCUGUUUCUGGGAUUUGUGGGAUCAGCUCCCCUCUCCCUGUGGGGUCUGUGGGCUCCCCUCCAUGGGCUGUCCCUGUGGGGUCUGUGGGAUCCCCUCCCCUGUCCCUGUGGGAUCUGUGGGAUCAGCUCCCCUGUCCCUGUAGGAUCUGUGGGAUCCCCUCCCCUGUCCCUGUAGGAUCUGUGGGAUCCCCUCCCCUGUCCCUGUGGGGUCUGUGGGAUCCCCUCCCGGGGCUGUCCCUGCCCAGCAGGGCACUCCAGCUCUGCUGCCAUUCUCCUCUGCUUUUAUCCAAGCAGCCAAAUCCUUUCCUUAAUAUUUUUAUUUUCUGAACUUCAUGAAACCCCACAAACCUCGGUUUCCACACCCUCAGACACUUUUCUGCCACAUUUGUUGGUGGAAACACCGAAAACUGGACCUGCCAUUUUUAUUUCCAUUUUUCCCUUCAGCCCUCUGUGCUUGUGUCUGUUGCUCACCUUCCCUUCCAGCUGACGAGCUUUGCACCCUUCCUGGUUUUUUUGCUUUUUCUUUUUUUGUCCCAGAACUGCCCAUUUUGUACCCAGCCUCUCGAAGGUGACCUAAGGCAGCUAACUCCUGAUUUGGGAUUUCUGGUGGCAGCAGGUUUUCAGUCCUGGUGGGGAUUUUGGAGAGUUCCCAGAGGUGAUACACUAGAAGUGGUCAGGAAGGACCCUGAGUGCAGUUCAGGUGGGGAUGGAAUAUUCCUGCAGCAGCUGAGUGCUCGUCCUGUGGGAUUCCCUGGGUUUUUUGAGGCUGGUAAAUUCCUUUACCUUACAAAAAUUGAAGUUCUCGAACGUUCUUGACUCUCAUGGAACUACUGUUGCAGUUACAAUAAAGAUGAUGAUGUUUCAUUGUAAAUCUAUUUUUUUACAAUGGUUUGAUUUUUUUUAUAUAUAUAUUUUUUUUUUUCCAGAACAGCAUCAGGCUGCAGGGAAAUCUCAAUCUUGAAAAAGGAAAUUUAUUUAAUUCCCUCUCCUCUCCCACAGCUCUUCCACCUGCUGGAAUUGCUGGGAGAGCAGAAAUUCCCUCAACCUCUUGGGUAAUUCUGGGAGAAUAAACAGCCACAUUUAAAAAAUAAAACCCAUAAAAAAUAAAACCCAUAGAAAAUAAAACCCAUAGAAAAUAAAACCCAUAAAUCUCUGGUUCCCAGGGCUGUUUUCCAUUGGCUUCUUAGGGUUUGCUUUCAGUUCAGGCCCAGGGGGUUCCAGGGGCUCUGGUUCUCCCCUGCCACACCUCAAGUGGAUUUUGUGACUCUCACCUCAAAUCCAUUUUUGGUUGCUUCGUUUAUUUUUUUCCUAAGAAGAGUUAAGGCUGUGAAAAUGCUUUUUCUGUUCUGCCAGUUCAGUUUUUGGGUUGUUGUGUCCUGGCACCUUUGGCCCUUUGUUUCACAGAAUAAAUUCUUUCUCCCAAGUUCAUUUCUGGUGGGUUGGGGCUGCCUGAUGCUUUUUCUGAGUGAAAAACACCAUGAAAAUCUCAGAUUUGCAGCAUUUUGUAACUUUUUCAAACCUGUUCAUUGGUACAAACACUGAGCCCUGUUAGAAAUUCAGCAGUGUCACAUUUUUACAGACAGGAGCAAAUUAUCAAAGUGAAUAUUCCUAUUCUUUUGAAUAUCUUUAUUUUAACAUCAUUUUUCAGCAGCAGCAGCAGACUUCACCUUUUUCAAUGCCCAUUGGAAUUCAUUUGUAUCAAACAUUCUGGAAGGAAAGCUGGGAAAAUCCCUGUUUUUAGGAGCACCAGGAGAUUUGUGUGGAGCAGAAAGUUUCAUUCACAGGAGGAGGAGGCUUUGCAAAGAUUCUGUAGCCCUGGAGCUUUGCAGAGAGGUAAAACGGAUUUAUUCCAAAAUUCAGUCAGCCUUGCUUUUCAAAUUUCACAGCUUCCCUCCUGUCCCUGACUCCACAGCAGCACCUCUGGUUUCUGCCAGCGUCCUGCCUUGAACUUGGCAAAAUCCCUCAAAAUCUGCAUUUCCAGCUGGGCUUUUGUGCUGAGGGUGCUCUGCUUCAGUUCCAGGGGGGUCAGCGACAACUGUGCUGAGUCAGUGGGGGCAGGAGGGGCUAAAAAUGGGGCAGCUGAGGAGCUUUUAACCAAUUUUCACUUUUUAAAGGCAGAGAGUGAGGGGAGAGAGGCAGCUCCAGGCCAGUGCAAAUACCUGGAAUUCCUGGGGGUUUUUUUCCUUUUUUUUUCCUUUUUUCCCCUUUUUUUUUAAAUAUUCCCUCCAGUGAUGGUCACAAAGGUACAAGAGCCACUGAGGCAGCCAGGGGAGGGAGGGAGGGAGGAAUCUGCACCAUGCUGGAAGCUUCUGGAGCUGUAGAAAAAGAAAAACCAAACUGGUGCUUUGCUUUUCUGUCCUUUGUUGGUGAAGUGUUUAUUUUUCUAACAGAUCCUAGCGUUGAACACACGGUUCCUAAAAGCUCAGAGUGACCCAGGAGUUUUGAUGUUUGAUGGAGAAUUCCUUCAUCUCCUGCAGGGGAAAUGGAGCAGUUUUGGGGGACAGUCCCAGUGCUUGGUGGCGUUCAGGACGUGUGAGUUUGGGGUGGGGUCACAUCUGUGCCUGGAGUGAUCAGUGAGUUCUGUCCCUGAGCAAGCAGAGCCUGGAGAUUCCCCUGCAGCUUCAGGAGGUUGAAUGCCGGUGCUGCUGGAACAGGAGCAGCACCAGCACCUGCCUCUGGCUGUGCAGGAGGAUUUGGGGGCUUUUUUGAGCCCCUCAGAGCAGGGAGAGCUCCCCAAGCCCGGCCCAGCUCUGACACAGCCCACGCGUGAGCAGCUGGAUGUGUUUGUGUGGAGCUCUGCUGGCAGCCCCUGGAGCUGGUGGGGGCAGCCCGGCCCUGGCAGGUGCUGCCAGUGCCCUGUGCCCCUGUGCCAGCCCAGCCCGGCCCUGGCAGGUGCUGGCCAUGUCCCGUGCCAGCCUGGCCCUGGCAGGUGCUGGCCGUGCCCCGUGCCAGCCCAGCCCUGGCAGGUGCUGGCCGUGCCCCUGUGCCAGCCCUGGCAGGUGCUGGCCAUGCCAGCCCAGCCCAGCCCUGGCAGGCGCUGCCCCUGCCCCGUGCCAGCCCGGCCGUGCCCAGCACGCUCAGUGUGACUGCAAAGCACCCGUGUGCAAACGCUCUGUACAGUGGGGCCAGGGUUUUUUAUAUAUAUAUUUUGGGAUGGGGGGGAGGAGGGUGGGUGGAGAUCCUGAGAUCAGCUUAAGCCAGACUUAAAUGUGUGUAAAAAAAAAAACAAAAAACCAACCCAAAAUCUUCGGUGUGUGAGUGCGGGAGCGUCUGCCAUCCCAUUCCCUUUGUGUUCUCAGCAUUUGUGAGGUUUGACUUUCUUUUUUCUUUCUUUUUUUCCCCCCUCUCCCCUUCCUGCAAGAAGAAAUUAAUUGUAAAUAAGAGCUAGGUGAUUUUUUUGUCGUUGUUUGCCAUCGUGUCACAGCAAACCCUGAGUGAGCAGUGUGAGGCUGGAGGAGGAGACGGGCAGCGUUUCUGGUAUGCAAGGAAUAUUUUGUCUUGAGUUUCUGCAAUCCCCUGCUGAGCUUUUGGAAGAAAAAAAAUCAAUAAAAAUAAUCAGGCUCUUUGCAGUUCCCCUCCCUGUCCUUUUUUAGUUUUUAUUAUUAAUUUUUUUUGGGUUUAAUUUCCAAAGCAGGAAGAAGGGGCAGCUGCAAAGAGUCAUCGCUGUGGGGUUGGGAACUCGUGACAACACCGAGAUCUAGCAUGGUACUAGGAGUUCAGUCUGAAUGUAACAUUAAUGCUUUAUUUAAGAUUAAAACAACAAAACAAACACUUUUUUUUUGGGUUUUUUUAAGGGGUUGAAGUGAACAUGACCGCUGACCAUGUUCGUGAGUUUCUAGCUGCAAACAUUCAUUGGUAGAAUUGUGUGAUGGUCUUUUGUGCUAAUUAAUUUGACAUAUUCCGAGUCUCUGUAUGUACCUGCAAAGAAAGAAAAACAAAAAAAAUAACAAACCCCCUGCUUUGCUUUGAUUGAAAAAGGGUUCCUGGGACUGCAUACCUGCUCCUGAGCUCUGUUUUAAGUAUGUGUAUCCUUCGCUUGUAUUUUGUAUUAAAAAAAAGAACCACGAGGACAAAAAUGAACCCUUUAUUGUUCAGCAUGUUGGAAUUGUGUCCCCUCUUUUAUUUUUCUCCUUUUUGGAAUAUAUUAAGCAACUCAUUCUUCUGUAUCUUUUAUUUUCUUUUGUAAACUUUUUGGUUUUGUUUAAAAAUGGCUUUAUAAAAGGGCUUUUAUAACCCAUGAA